ACAGCUUUGAAUCAGGCCCAAAGAAAGUAUAGAAACAUCUACUACAAAGCAAGUAAGUGAAAACAGAAACACAAAAAUAGGAGCACUGUAAAUCAGUUUCUAAUUAUGGAAUUAAACGUCACCAAAUAAGCUAUAUAGAAAUGUUAAGCAAACUUGUUUGUUCACGUAAAAUUUACAGAUUUUAGACAUUUCAUUUAGUAUUCACAAUUAUGUUAUGAAAGUACGGAAAAAAUAACAUAAAAUACAGGAAUCAGACAGAUUUCAAGCAACAGUGUUAAUGGGGAACCUUACUAAUUGGAGCUUUUUCCCCCACGCAGUCUAAUAAUGUUGUUUGAAUGUUUAUCUCAUUCAGCCAGUUUAAGUGUGAAAACUUCAACGGCUGUUUAAUAAACUUUCAUUUUAAUACAAUCAAAUGCAAGGUGAUGCGUACAUAGAAGCUAUUGCUGUACCUCUUAUUGACAGGAUGGAUGGAAAUGCCUAUUACCGACAUGAGUCUGUAUAUACAGGCAUCAGGGUUAUCGCUACUCCCACAGUGAUGCUUUGCUCAGAGGCACCAAAGAGAGAAAGGAAAACCUUACGGUAUUUAAAAACAUUUUUGAGAUCUGCGUGGUGAUUCAUCAGUUAAUUUUAUCAGAACUGAUGGAAAAGUGAAGCACGUCUCCCAUAUCACAGGUUUGACUUGAAUGCUGUGAAGUAUAUGCAGAGAGACAACAUAUAAAAUUCUCAUAAAAAGCUAGAGUAUGGAUGACAAAGUACAGUAGAAAUUUCACUGACCACAGACGACAGAAGGGAGAGCUGUUUUCUUUGAGGGUAAAUAACACACCAGAAAGCCCUGGGCAAAUUUUUGUAACCAAGGUCACACCACGUGCAGGAGCGCUGGCGCAAUCAGAACAGAGGUACAGGAUCAGGAACGAGUGCCUAGAAACAGAAACCUCUAGAACUGACUGCCUGGCUUACGAGAACAAAGAAUCAUAUCAGAGCGUGCAGCUGCUCAGUAAAUCGAGAAAGAAAAACAUUCAAGAGCCAAUCAAAAUCUGAGUAUCCCUUUGAUGACAUAUGGGAUUGAUAACUACACUGACAGCGAAGCCGAGAAUGCCUCAGGAUUCAGGAAGCAGAAGUUUCUUACACAGACCAGCUGAGCUGAGGAAGUGAACUAUAUGAUCUUUUUAAUUAAAAAAAAAAGAAGAAGAAAUUAGCCUAGCAGGAAUACAUAGUGUCUGAUUUGACUAAGUGUAAUUAAAAGCUUACGUUUUCAGGGACUUAGGAUGAAACCGUUAGAACUGUUUUCUUUGUUGACUCUGAGAUUUAUGUUACUUGCAUGAGACCUCGUGUAUUUUUACAACAUGAAAUGCCUUGACCCUGAGUUAUUACGCUUUUUAAUCUUUUCCUUUUAAAGCUCAAAGGCAAGACACGAUAUAGCCUGCAGACUUUUUUUUCCCCCAGAAUGGUAUGUAUAUGUCCUGUGCUACAAGUCUGAACCAAGAAGAAUAGUUUUACUAACCAGGGUUAGCAACUAACACCACCUGUUAACCACCAAAUAAGGAGACACAUUGUUCUUUCAUUGAGCUCUUAUUUGCCUUUAAGAAAUCUGCCUAAAAGGGACCUUAAACAUUUUCCUGCUACGUUUAUUGUCUUUAUGGAAUAUUGUACUUUAUGGAAAUUUAUAACAGACAUAUUUAUAAAACCUACCAAGAUGGCAACUGUCUACUCUAAAGUUAAAACGGAUAUUGUAAUUUUAUACUAUAAUACUGAUCUAAUUAACAUGCGAAGGGAUUAGCUACUAUGACACUGGAUGCUAUAGAAACCUCAGGUUAUACAGAUAAUUAGAGACUGAAGAGAAUUCAUGAUCCUCCAGGGCAUGAAUAAGAACAGCUACGCUCAGCUUCUGCUCUAAACCAUCCCUUGCAGUAGCUCAUCUCUCUUCACUGACUACAGUGAGAGUUUCGAGAGAUUUAGCCAAAGCUAUAAUUAGCCUGCAUGCAUUCCCACUAAGUACCAGUGCACAGACUUCCAUCAAAUUCAAUGGAACCUGAGUCAAAUUGCUAGAGCAUUCCUGCUAAUACAGUAUAGCGUGAGAUAGUUUCGCAGACUAAGAAUUCUGUUACAUUGCUUUUUUGGUAGAAUGGCAUUCAUAGCCUCAACCUAUAAUUCUCAUUUAAAAUUUAAUUUCUAAUAUGGAAUGAAUACAUCUGCUAGCCAUAAAUAUUUCUAAAAUGUUAAUAAAAUGAUAUGACCUCCGAG
ensembl:lncRNA